AUUGAACGCUGGCGGCAGGCCUAACACAUGCAAGUCGAGCGAGCGGCGGACGGGUGAGUAAUGUAUGGGGACUGCCCGAUAGAGGGGGAUAACUACUGGAAACGGUGGCUAAUACCGCAUACUAUCGGAAAACCCAUAUGGGAUUAGCUAGUAGGUGGGGUAAAGGCUCACCUAGGCGACGAUCUCUAGCUGGUCUGAGAGGAUGAUCAUACACCCUGGGCUUUAGACACGGCCCAGACUCCUACGGAGGCAGCAGUUGGUAAUAUUGCACAAUGGGCGCAAGCCUGAUGCAGCCAUGCCGCUUGUAUGAAGAAGGCCUUAGGGUUGUAACGUACUUUCAGCGUGGAGGCGUUACCCGCAGAAGAAGCACCGGCUAACUCCGUGCCAGCCGCCGCGGUAAUUC
rnacentral:rRNA from 1 species